ACCCUCCGUGAAAAUUCAUUUGAAGCUGCCUUUUUUGCCUCUUUUUUUGUGAAAAUCGUACUACAACUUCAUCAUCAUCAUCAUCAUCAUCAUCAUCAUCAUCAUCAUUAUUAUUAUUAUUAUUAUUUUGCUUCUCUGAUGGGUAAUUUCUCUGUUUGAAUGAGUAAUUUGACUCCCAUUAUAAUAGAAGGUAUGUACUCCAUCUAAUUUCUUGGCAUUAACGUCGUGUCAUGGUGAUAUUGCAGUUCCUCAAUACAUCAAAUAUGGUUCGAGUGUUCGGCCUUGAAGGCUUCUGUCUCAUGACGCUUAUGAAAACAUAUUUCUUGCAGCAUACAUCCUUUUGAGUUUUAGACUUUUUUCAUUCUUUUCUGAUAGUGUGAUAAUUGAGUUAUUCAAGCUCUCUCUGGAUAAUUUUAAAUCGCAAAGUUUUUAUUGAUCUGUAAUGGAGAUGGAAAGUGUAACGGAGUUGACAAUGGAUUGAUGGCCGAGGAAGAUGCCAGGUUUGGGUUGGGAUGUUUUACCUCUAGAACCUCCCAAGGUACAUCCUAUGAUCUUUGUUUCGCGAUGAUGAUUAACACUUAUCUACUAUAUUGAAAUUUGGUGUUUGAUUACUUUUCCCUUUCUCCGUUCUACGACCACACGUGCAAUGACGAGCAGCUCCAUCCACCCCUUUGACUACGCCCAACUCUUGAGUGCAAUUGAAAUGUUGGAAGCUUAAGUAAGAGAGAUUAUCGGUAAGCUCAGUUCGCCAUCAUUAGAGAGUGAUGAUCGCCAAAGAUAUGUUGUUGCAAUAUAAUACAAAAACUAGUCAAUAAUAUUGUAAGCCUCACAUUAUAAAUAUCUAUUACAAAUUGAAUUUCAUUGAAUUGUUUGUGGAGAUAGAACAUGAUCCCCAUUAACCAUUAUCCUUGGAAUCAAAAUUUCAUAUCCUAAUUUCUUCCAAUAUCCUCUACAAGUUGACAUAUCCUUAGAUCUGAUGUUGAAGUACUCUAAAGGGGAUUCACGUUUGAUUGAGAUGUACGAGGAUCGGGGUAGGGAGAUUGUUCUACCUAGUGGGACUUCUAUGCUAAAUAUUUUAAAAUCAAUCAAGUGUGAUAAUGUAAAGAGGACGCAAUCUCUCUCUCUCAGAUGUUCUAUCUUUUCGCUAGGUUUCAUUUUGUUUUACUUUCACUACUUAUUCAUUCCUUUCUUUUAUCUAUUUAUUGAAGUGUCUAUAACUAAAUGGUAUAUAGUGUGCACCCACUUUUUCUAAGAAUUUAUGUUUUUUCAUUUUUU